CGUGAGGCUUAGAGUCAUGUGUUGGGGUUUGCGUCUCCUCCACAUGCUAAAGCACUCGCAAAGAAAUCUGCGCGCCUUUAUUCACUGGCUGCCUCUGUUGUGAGUCUGCCGGUCACCGGGCCUGCUACAUAU